rnacentral:rRNA from 1 species
UACGUAGGGUGCAAGCGUUUAAUCGGAAUUACUGGGCGUAAAGCGUGCGCAGGCGGUUAUGUAAGACAGUUGUGAAAUCCCCGGGCUCAACCUGGGAACUGCAUCUGUGACUGCAUAGCUAGAGUACGGUAGAGGGGGGAUGGAAUUCCACGUGUAGCGGUGAAAAUGCGUAGAGAUGUGGAGGAACACCGAUGGCGAAGGCAGCCUUCUGGGCCAACACUGACGCUCAUGCACGAAAGCGUGGGGGAGCAAACAGG